rnacentral:misc_RNA from 1 species
GAAAUGCGAUAAGUAAUGUGAAUUGCAGAAUUCAGUGAAUCAUCGAAUCUUUGAACGCACAUUGCGCCCGCCAGUAUUCUGGCGGGCAUGCCUGUCCGAGCGUCAUUUCAACCAUCAAGCCCCCGGGCUUGUGUUGGGGACCUGCGGCUGCCCGCAGGCCCUGAAAACCAGUGGCGAGCUCGCUGUCACACCGAGCGUAGUAGCAAUCACCUCGCUCAGGGCGUGCUGCGGGUUCCGGCCGUUAAACAGCCUUACAAAACCCAAGGUUGACCUCGGAUCAGGUAGGAAGACCCGCUGAACUUAAGC